GCGGCGGACGGGUGAGUAACACGUGGGCAACCUGCCUAUAAGACUGGGAUAACUUCGGGAAACCGGAGCUAAUACCGGAUACGUUCUUUUCUCGCAUGAGGGAAGAUGGAAAGACGGUUUACGCUGUCACUUAUAGAUGGGCCCGCGGCGCAUUAGCUAGUUGGUGAGGUAAUGGCUCACCAAGGCGACGAUGCGUAGCCGACCUGAGAGGGUGAUCGGCCACACUGGGACUGAGACACGGCCCAGACUCCUACGGGAGGCAGCAGUAGGGAAUCUUCCGCAAUGGACGAAAGUCUGACGGAGCAACGCCGCGUGAACGAAGAAGGCCUUCGGGUCGUAAAGUUCUGUUGUUAGGGAAGAACAAGUACCAGAGUAACUGCUGGUACCUUGACGGUACCUAACCAGAAAGCCACGGCUAACUACGUGCCAGCAGCCGCGGUAAUACGUAGGUGGCAAGCGUUGUCCGGAAUUAUUGGGCGUAAAGCGCGCGCAGGUGGUUCCUUAAGUCUGAUGUGAAAGCCCACGGCUCAACCGUGGAGGGUCAUUGGAAACUGGGGAACUUGAGUGCAGAAGAGGAAAGUGGAAUUCCAAGUGUAGCGGUGAAAU
rnacentral:rRNA from 1 species